rnacentral:rRNA from 1 species
UGCGAGCAAACGCCUGGCGGCGCUCUUACAACCAUGCAUGUCCACGGUGUGCUCGCAAGAGCACCGGCGAACGGGUGCGUAACACGUGAGCACUGCCUUUGUGUGGGGGAUAGCCGGCCCAACGGCCGGGUAAUACCGCAUACGAUUCUCGAGGGGAGUCCCUUGGGAAGGAAACCUCCGGGGCGCCAAGAGGGGCUCGCGGCCUAUCAGCUAGUUUGCGGGGUAACGGCCCACCAAUGCGACGACUGGUAGCUAGUCUGAGAGGAUGGCCAGCCACAUUGGGACUGAGAGACGGGCCCAAACUCCUACGGGAGGCAGCAGUGGGGAAUCUUGCGCCAUGGGCGCAAGCCUGACGACGCAACGCCGCGUGGAGGACGAAGAUCUUCGGGUCGUAGACUCCUGUCGAGCGGGAAGAACGCUUCCCGGGUGAAUUAUCCGGGGAGGUGACCGGUACCGCUAAAGGAAGCCCCGGCUAACUCCGUGCCAGCAGCCGCGGUAAUACCGGAGGGGGCAAGCGUUGUUCGGAAUUACUGGGGCCGUAAACGGGCUCGUUAGGCGUGCCAAGCUAGAGUCGAGAAUGUUGAGAGAUCGCCCAAGAGCAUCAAACAUUGUGGAAACGUGCGAUACCGGAGUAGCUGGAAUGAGCUAUGGAAUUCCGGGGGACGAGAGCGAUUGCGAGACAUAUCCAAGGUUGUAAGCGGGUGAAAAAUGCCGUUC